GACUCCGUAGCUCAGCUGGAUAGAGCAUCCGCCUUCUAAGCGGACGGUCACAGGUUCGAAUCCUGUCGGGGUCG
rnacentral:tRNA from 1 species